rnacentral:rRNA from 1 species
UUACCGUAGGUGAACCUGCUGUAGGAUCAUU